rnacentral:rRNA from 1 species
CGGUCCAGACUCCUACGGGAGGCAGCAGUAGGGAAUCUUCGGCAAUGGACGAAAGUCUGACCGAGCAACGCCGCGUGAGUGAAGAAGGUUUUCGGAUCGUAAAACUCUGUUGUAAGAGAAGAACGUUGAUGAGAGUGGAAAGUUCAUCAAGUGACGGUAUCUUACCAGAAAGCCACGGCUAACUACGUGCCAGCAGCCGCGGUAA